rnacentral:rRNA from 1 species
GGGGGAUAUUGCACAAUGGAGGAAACUCUGAUGCAGCAACGCCGCGUGAGGGAAGAAGGUCUUCGGAUUGUAAACCUUAGUAGUCAGGGAAGAAUAAUGACGGUACCUGAAGAGUAAGCUCCGGCUAACUACGUGCCAGCAGCCGCGGUAAUACGUAGGGAGCGAGCGUUGUCCGGAUUUACUGGGUGUAAAGGGUGCGUAGGCGGGACUGCAAGUCAGGCGUGAAAUACCGGGGCUUAACCCCGGGGCUGCGCUUGAAACUGUGGUUCUUGAGUGAAGUAGAGGCAGGCGGAAUUCCUAGUGUAGCGGUGAAAUGCGUAGAUAUUAGGAGGAACACCAGUGGCGAAGGCGGCCUGCUGGGCUUUAACUGACGCUGAGGCACGAAAGCAUGGGGAGCAAAC